AUCUAUGGCCAUGCCACCUUGAACGUGUCCGAUCUCAUCUGAUCUCGGAAGCUAAGCAAGGUUGGGCUUGGUUAGUACUUGGAUAGGAGACCACUUAGGAAGACCAGGUGCUGUAGGCG
rnacentral:rRNA from 1 species